GACAGAGGGUGCGAACGUUGUUCGGAAUUACUGGGCGUAAAGCGCGCGCAGGCGGGUUGGUAUGUGCCGUGUGAAAGCUCUCAGCUUGCCUGGGAGAGGUCGCGGUAGACAGCCGACCUGGAGGCUCGGAGAGGUCAGUGGAAUUCCCGGUGUAGUGGUGAAAUGCGUAGAGAUCGGCAGGAACACCCAGGGGGAAACCAGCCGACUGGGCAAGUGCUGACGCUGAGGUGCGAGAGCGUGGGGAGCGAACCGG
rnacentral:rRNA from 1 species